CACAAGGUAGAGGUUUUAGUAUAAUUUGAAAUUCCUCAAGAUGAUAGCUGUUGUAAGACAAGUUUAGUUUAGUUAAAGCCUGAUUAUAGCUAUCUUCCCAAGGCAAGCGCAUUUUCAGUGAAUUCAUAUAACACUGAGGACGUAGGAGAAACAAAAUGUUCUUUGAUUCCUAGAAGAUUUGUUAACUGUCAUUUGGUUGUAGGCCAAGGCAACCUGAAUGCUUACUAGUACUCUCAGCCAUCAGGUCAUGUUCUAACUAGUGAAAUAUUUUCCUUAAAAACUGAACUUUAGCAAUUUCCCCAUAAAUGUCACAGAUUUCAAUGGAAAAAAUUCAGUAGUACUGUAGGCUUCACACCAAAUCUACUUUAUUUAUAUUCUUAAGCACCUUUACCUCCCUUCCAACCUACCCCUACCCCUGAAACCUUAGGUAGGAGAUUAGUAGGGAAAAGGCUGUAGUUCUUUUUUUUUUUUCUACUUCCUUAUGCUCAGGGUCAAUGGGUCAUUAGGGGAUUAGACUCACUCAUCAGGAUACCAGCAGUCAAGUCCAGAGGACAAUAUGAAGCAGUGAAAGCCAAAAGACUCAGCUGGAUUGCCCAGAGAAGCUCUCUGGAACAUUUCGUUUUGCAAAGCCAAGUGUCAAAGCACAAAGGUCAGGGCAGUGAUGUCGGUCAAAAAAGUGACUCUCCUGUGUGUGGGCCUCCACCCAUGGAUGUUCUCAGCUGGCCAGUUACAUCCUCACACAUGAGGGACCACAAAAAACCAUCAUGCGCCCUCUCACAAGCAAACCUGGGCAAAAUAUCACAUGCCCAGCUUGCAGCAAAAUAUCACAUGACAAAAUUCAGUCUUCAAAGAAGCCAGAAAUUUCUACUUCAAAGAACCACUAAGUGUUGAGUCUAUAACAGAGCACUCAUAAGUACAAAGAAAUGAUGCUAGAUUAUUGGUUGAAUGAGAGUAAAAUUUCAAAGAAACUGCAGGAUUGUUAAGGCCUGGAAACAGCAAGCCAGACUUCCAGUGAGGUCUGGAGGUGCUAUAGUGCAGGAGUUGGAUUUUCCAAGUGCAAGCAAACCAUGACUCUUUCUCAGCAGGAAAGUUAAAGAAGACUGAGCAAAAGCCUACAACAUUACACCGUCUGGUGUCUUAAUUUUAUGGGGUUUUCCUUUCUUGCUUGCUGUUUCUGCUCAUUAUUAGUUGCUGUUGUAUGUCAACAUAUCUGUCCCAGGUAAGUCUUUACUUCUUUUUUGUUUGUUCCAAGAUUGUAGUUUAAUCACAUCAUUUCUCCCUUUCCUUUCUUCCCUCUAAACCCUCCUGUAUAUCUCUCCCUUAUCGCCUUCAAAUUCAGUCUCUUUUUUCAUCAUUGUUAUGAUGCAUAUAUUUAUUUGUAUAUACAUACAUGUUCCAAACACAGCCUUGUGGAGUUUAUAUAUUGUUACCUGCAUUAUGUUUUCAGGGCUGACCUUUUGGAACUGGAAAACAAUUGGUGCGCUCUCUCCUGGGCACUCCAAUCUUUAUUCAGCUGCCUGUAGUUCUUUGUGUAGGGUUGAGGCCUUGUGGAAUUUUCUUUUUGUCUAGUUUGGCAUGUCCAUUGUUGUCCUUCUUGUUCAGCUCAGAUUUGGACAGUCAUAUUGGUAAGACUUCACGGGUGUGCCUUCUGAUGUUACUAGGAGACACAAUCUCUCAGCAAAAUCCAUGAUUCUCUGGCUCUUACAAUCUUUUCUCCUCCUCUUCUGCAAUGUCCCCUGAGCCCUGAGAUAUAGGAGUAUUUUGCAUAUGCAUCCACUGCUGAGAUAUAGGAGUCCCCUGAGAUAUAGGAGUAUUUUGCAAAUGUAUCCACUGCUGUGGAGAUGGACUCCACAGCUCUGCGUAUUGACUGGUUUUGGUUUUCUGUAGUGAUCAUCUGUUGCAAAAAGAAGUUUCUUUUAUGAAGGGUAAACAUUACACUUACCUGUGGGUUUAAGGAUUUAUAGAUUAUUGUUAGGAAUUACACUGGUUUAGUAAAUUAGAGAUUGUAGAUUCUCCUCCAGUGACUAUGACUUCAUUAACACUGAUUUUCUAUCGAGUUUUCCAGUACUAGGCAUGAUAUUCCUCCUGGUGAAUGGACUGAAGAGAUGCCUUGGCCAAUAAAGUAUCUUCUUCCUGGAUGCUGGAGUGCAGAGACAGAAGCAAUGACAGAGGGCAGUCACGGUGCUGGAUUAGGAGAAGCACUGUAGCUCCAUUUGUGCGAUCAGUUUUGAAUCCUGUGUUCGGACAAGAAGAUAUUAGAAUGUGGAGCUCCAGGAACUGGCUUCACAAUCUUAUCGAUUGUUCUAACUCUUGAACGAAUGCCAAGACUCAUCCGUUUGGCUCCGGAGCUGCGGUGAAGAGAGUAUGAUGGCACGGGCACACACCGUGAUAAUCUGCUUAAUUGUACCCUUCACACUGAGAAAGGUCACCCAAGGCUUCAAGUUCCCGUGACUAGUGGGGUCACUUAAACAGAAUUUCAGAACGAUCUGUUUGAACUUUUAUAAGCCUCACACUUUUAUUCUUCCCAUAUAAGGAAGAGACCCAGAAACAAUCAUAUUUUAGGACAAGCCGGGGUUUUGAUCUUACCAGUGUCCACCUGUGGAGAGCAUAACAGAGCUGAGCUAGCUCUAUCAAAAAGCCCGAGACUGUUUUCCGAAUCUAAAGAGAAAUUUAAAUAUAUAUUUAUUUAUUAGCUUAGAUAGGACAACUCGCACUAGCAAGGUACUGAAGUAGCUUAGUGAAAAGCUUUGUUUGCUGAAAAUGGUCCCAAGACCAACAGGGUGAAAUAAUGGGAACUUUCAAGAUCAAAUCCCUCAGGACAGAAAUGGCCUUUCUUGUCUGAGGGACGUCUUGGCUUAUUAAAGCGGCACUUACAGAAGGCAGCCCUGCCAAGAUAGACACUGGAACAGUCUGAAGCUCCCUGUUGAUCUUUUUUUUUUAAUUUUUUUUUAUUAUUACAGUUUAUUCACUUUGUAUUCCAGCUGCAGCCCCUUCCCUCCACCCUUCCCAAUCCCAUCAAUCCCCCCUUCUCCUCCCCUGCCCUCCCCAGUCCACUGAUAGGGGCGGUCCUCCUCUCUGACCCUAGCCCGUCAGGUUUCAGUGGCUGGCUCUCUGAUCACCUUCCCCUGGGGCAGUCAGCUGUACCAGGCCACAGAGGAAGACAACGCACCCUGUUGACCUUUUAACAUUUGUGCCUCCGUGUUCAUUGAAUAGGAUCUGAUAAUUAGUGUCUCACAGGCUCCCUCUAGUGGCCACACGGUUGCUCCGCAGAAAGAGAGCAAGUGAGCUAGCGAGCGCGCCCUGUUUGCCAUGAAGACAGUUGCUCCGGGGUAAUGAAGAACUCAAGUCUUGUUUGAAGACUUCUUAGUAGUGAUUUAAGGGAAGGUGAGAUGAUCUCUUUGCUCUUGGUCCUCUGGCUUCCAAUUGGCGGUCUAAAUGUGUAUUAACCUCUGGGUUUUCUCUUGCUAGAAUCUUCUUAAAAUUCUCAGCGGAGGCUGACAAAUCCUGUCUGCAGAACACGCCCAGCUUCCGUUUUCUAACCAGGCUAAUAAAAUCAGUCUGUUUUCAAAUACAACAGGAAAUGUUCUUCAGCUCCUAUAGGAAAUACCCCUUAUAUGCAAAAUGCAGACUGGUUUUACAAAACUUGUUCCCAGGGCUGGAGAGAUGGCUGAGUGGUUAAUAAAACACUAUUUGCUCUACCAGACGGCCAGGUUGGCUUUCCACGCAAAUGGUGGCUCACAGCCAUUCAUAACGCCAGCCCCAGAGGAUCCAGCACCCUUUUCCUACCAAAGCACAGACAGACAUACAGAUAAAGCACUCAUAUACAUAAAAUAAAUGCGUAGUUUUUUUAAACAACAAAAAACUAUUAUUUUUCUCAAGCUCUGUAAUCUGGCAACUCCUACACACUGAACAGCCACGUGACCUGUAAAUGGUCAGCUUGCUUUCCUUGAAUUUGUUUCUUAAUCAAUAAAAUUGUCCUACAGGCUUAAA